ensembl:lincRNA B430319H21Rik RIKEN cDNA B430319H21 gene
GACAGCGUCCUCGUGACAGCAUCCUGACUCUUGCCUGUCCAGAUGUGUAUGAGUCAAGCCCUUGCUCUUCUGCUCCUCACAUUGCAGGGGUAUGGCCUAGCUGCUGACCCAGAAGCAUAUAGACAAGGGCCUAGCAUGGCUGUCCACUGAGAGGAUCUACCCAGCAACUGACUCUGACAGAUGAAGAGGCUCACAGCCAAGCAUUGGAUGGAACUUGAGGACUCUCAUGGAAGAGUUGGGGGAAGGACUGAGGGCCCGAAGCAAAUUGGAACUCUACAGGAAGAUCAACAGAGUCAACUAACCUGGACCCUUGAGGACUCUCAGAAACUAAACCACCAACCAAAGAACACACACAGGCUGAACCUAGGUACCCCCCCCCCCCCACACACACACAUGUAGCACAUGUGGGUCCUGAACAACUCAAAUGGGGACUAUUCUUAAAGCUGUUGCCUGUCUGUGAAAUCCAUUACCCUAACUUAGCUCUCUUGUCUGGCCUUGGUGGGAGAAGAAGUGCCUAGUCCUGCAGAGAUUUGAUGUGCCAGGGUGUGGGAAUACCCAGGAAGUGCCUCUACUCUCUUGGAGGAGAAGGAGAGACAGUAUGGAGGAAGGAACUGGGGGAGGGAUGGGGAAGGUGGACAGCAAUAAGGUUGUAAAGUGAAUUUUUUAAAAAGUGUGUUUUAGCAAAUUCAUGCAGGAAACAGUAUAUGGGAUAUAUUUUCUAUCUAGGAUUAUC